rnacentral:rRNA from 1 species
AGAGUUUGAUCAUGGCUCAGAACGAACGCUGGCGGCAUGCCUCAUACAUGCAAGUCGAACGCAGGCUUCGGCCUGAGUGGCGCACGGGUGAGUAGCGCGUGGGAACCUACCCUUCUGUGGGGGAUAACCGAGGGAAACUUCGGCUAAUACCGCAUACGCCGGGAAACCGGGAAAGAUUUAUCGCAGAUGGAUGAGCCCGC